GCCAGCGUAGCUCAGCGGUAGAGCAGCGGUUUCGUAAACCGCAGGCCAUGGGUUCGAAUCCCUUCGCUGGCUCCA
rnacentral:tRNA from 1 species